rnacentral:rRNA from 1 species
GGUCCGAGUUGUAAUUUGUAGAGGAUGCUUUGGGCGCGGCGCCUUCCAAGUUCCCUAGAACGGGACGCCUUAGAGGGUGAGAGCCCCGUACGGUUGGACGCCUAGCCUAUGUAUAGCUCCUUCGACGAGUCGAGUAGUUUGGGAAUGCUGCUCUAAAUGGGAGGUAAAUUUCUUCUAAAGCUAAAUACCGGCCAGAGACCGAUAGCGCACAAGUAGAGUGAUCGAAAGAUGAAAAGUACUUUGAAAAGAGGGUUAAAUAGCACGUGAAAUUGUUGAAAGGGAAGCGUUUGCGACCAGACCUUUUCCAGGCGGAUCAUCCGGCGUUCUCGCCGGUGCACUUCGCCUGGUUUAGGCCAGCAUCGGUUUUCCCAGGGGGAUAAAGGCGGCGGGAACGUAGCUCUCUCGGGAGUGUUAUAGCCCGCCGCGUAAUACCCUUGGGGGGACCGAGGACCGCGCUUCGGCAAGGAUGCUGGCGUAAUGGUCGUCAACGACCCGUCUUGAAACACGGACCAAGGAGUCGAACAUUUGUGCGAGUGUUUGGGUGUCAAACCCUCACGCGUAAUGAAAGUGAACGGAGGUGAGAGCCCCUCGCGGGUGCAUCAUCGACCGAUCCUGAUGUCUUCGGAUGGAUUUGAGUAAGAGCAUAACUGUUCGGACCCGAAAGAUGGUGAACUAUGCGUGGAUAGGGUGAAGCCAGAGGAAACUCUGGUGGANGCUCGCAGCGGUUCUGACGUGCAAAUCGAUCGUCAAAUCUGCGCAUGGGGGCGAAAGACUUAUCGAACCAUCUAGUAGCUGGUUACCGCCGAAGUUUCCCUCAGGAUAGCAGUGUUGUCUUCAGUUUUAUGAGGUAAAGCGAAUGAUUAGGGACUCGGGGGCGCUAUUUUGCCUUCAUCCAUUCUCAAACUUUAAAUAUGUAAGAAGCCCUUGUUACUUAGUUGAACGUGGGCAUUCGAAUGUACCAACACUAGUGGGCCAUUUUUGGUAA